UUCACACGAAUAGGCAUCCGUAGAGAAUUCUACAAUCUAGCAGCAUGAACCAUAAAUCUGCUUAGCACGUAAACGAGUAAGAAGUGAUUUUGAGGAUCAGAGACUUUGUUGAACAAGAGGAUACGUCAUGAAGAACUAGGAAAUCAAAUCGUUCACGAUGGGUCGGAAAUGCACGCGUGACACUCCUGAUAUUACAGGCGUCCAUAGACCACAAUCUAAUACAACAGUGAUCU